GUUUGAAUAGUUUAAUUAAAAUGUUAUUUUGUGGAAAUAAAAGAUGUGUUUAGCUUUGAGUG
rnacentral:tRNA from 1 species